AAUAAAGUAGAGUUGAAAGGCUUCAGCGCAUCGGUGGGACCCUGAUAUUCCCUCUGCAGGGUCUGCUGGAGGGAAGAUGGGGACUAAGAGAGAGAGAGAAGGAGAGUUUCCAGGGGGGCUUCUCCUUCCUUCAGAUUUCAUGCUGAAGGUGGGUAGGAAUCGCUGCCUACGGACACACCAGCCCAGCCUGCUUCCCUAUGCCAGAAAGCAAGUGGAUUACAGUUUCCACACACUAAGACUAUCAGAACAGCAAUGCUAGCCUGGGGCACUGUAGUUAUACCAUCACUGGUGUAAACAUCUUUAAUUAGAGGAAAGUUAAAAGGCUACAGUCGUAACAAUGCAUCUUAACCAACGCAAACCAGCAGCUGAAGACAGCGAGAUACACGACUGGUCUGUGAGCAGGACACUGAAGAGACUGUAAAAGCAGACACGGCAUGAGAACAUACAUCACGGGUAUCUGACAGACUAUGGACGGAGAUGCAGAUUUCAAGCUAAAACAGAAAACAGAGUUCUCUUUAGCAGUAGUUCACCAUCUUUGAUUUAGGAAACAGAAGCUGAACAAGCUCAGUGUGGCAUAUGAAAAGUUUACUGCAGUCAGCAAGACCUAUAUGGACCUAUGAAUAUGGACUACUCCUGAAUAAUCCCUGGGUGGAGGAAGCACUGCAAUAAAGAUCUAUAAAAUGUAUUCAGUGCCAUCAGUUCUCAAAUAUUGCUGGAAUCAAUGCAGCCUGCCAGCAGCAGACACCUUUACCAAGGCAGGUGUGGUAAGCUACUAUCUACUGUUUACAGCUGGAGCCUGCCAUUUACAAAACUUUUAACGCUUCAGGACUCAGUGAAAAAAGUCCAUGUCUGAGCCACAUCAUCCACAGCUAAUAAUCUAAAAAUAAAGUAGCAUACCUGUUUGUGGCACCCUGAUCAAAUGUACCAAGCUCAAAUAAAAAAAAUUACACUUCAAAACUUCAUGAAUUUUACAUUUCUGUCAAUACAUUUCUGUCCAAUCUCACGUGGAAAUCGCUUCCCCCCCCCCCCCCAACCCUUACAACACUUCCCUUAUUCAGGAGUGACCUUCCCCAUGAAGAUGGCCAAAGACAGACAAGGAAUCUCAUGGUUCAUGGAGUCCAGCCUGGAACAGAGGCCUCUGUGGACCCGAAAGGCCUUUUCAUAAGAGGAAUGUUUUCUUUGUAGCUGGAAACUGAACGAGACUCACAGAACAUUUCAACCACAAACCCCUCAUCGAUAACUGCAAUUAAAAGAAAAAAGUUCCAACUGUUUAGAUGCCUUUGUCAAGGAUGGUGUUCACGUUCUUUGGAAUGCUGCUCCUCAAUUUCUGCUUUAUAGUCCCAAAUUAUGUUUCAUCAGGAAACAAAGAACAGCUGGGUGCGUAUAGGUGCAGAAUUAAAAGACUCACAGGGAAAAACAUCUCUCAAGAGAGUCUUUUACUUCCAAUAUUCAGGUCUAAUAAUAAAAUUGUCCAGAUAUUUAAAUAAAGAAGGUAAAAAUAAAUUUUGUCAUAUAGAAUUGUAUUUUAACCUACAUUUGAAUAACCUAACUACAGCUCCAAAAACUGGCAGUUCUGUUUCCCUAAUGCCGGAUGUAGCAAAUUAAUGACUGCAAACCCCACAAAAGGUUACCUUGGCUAUUUCCAGAUCCAACCCAGGGAAGGGAAGGGAAGCAGAUCACCUCUGUCAGCAGGAGUUUCCAUACUGCAUUAAGUAUAUUAUUAGCAAGAUUGAAAAAAAAAAAAUAUCCUAUGUUGUUCCCAAUAUAUAUGCUAUAAGACGUUGGGUGGUUUUCACAUUGUGUAAGACAGGAAAGUGAAACGUACAAAGACCCUGCUACAAGUGAAGGCAUCUUUAUCUUCACAUAUUCUCACCGCUAAUGUCCCUGUUGGUCAAAACCAAAGUCCUAAUG